rnacentral:lncRNA from 1 species
CUGAAACUAGUGCAUGAAUUAUAGUGGUUCUUUUACUUGUCUGUGACAUCACUGCAACAGCUGACACUAAUGAAUUGAGUCAUCCAUCCAUCCAUCCCCUUGUUUUUCACUGAGAGCUUCCUGGCAUAUGCAGGAUCUUUGAAGGACACAAAGUUGCCCACCACCCCCUCCCAGUACGAAGUGCAAUAAAACCAAGGACAAAAGCAGUGGAACGGAAACCAAGAAAAGUAAAGUCACCAGAAAAUUGGGGACAUAAGGCAAGAGAAGAAACCAGAGGACUUAGUUCUUCCUCCAUGAACAGAAUUAGAUAGCUGGGUUGAUGAUCCAAAGAUUCCAAAGACAUUA